ACUGAACGCUGGCGGCAGGCCUAACACAUGCAAGUCGAGCGGAUGACGGGAGCUUGCUCCUUGAUUCAGCGGCGGACGGGUGAGUAAUGCCUAGGAAUCUGCCUGGUAGUGGGGGACAACGUUUCGAAAGGAACGCUAAUACCGCAUACGUCCUACGGGAGAAAGCAGGGGACCUUCGGGCCUUGCGCUAUCGGAUGAGCCUAGGUCGGAUUAGCUAGUUGGUGGGGUAAUGGCUCACCAAGGCGACGAUCCGUAACUGGUCUGAGAGGAUGAUCAGUCACACCGGAACUGGGACACGGUCCAGACUCCUACGGGAGGCAGCAGUGGGGAAUAUUGGACAAUGGGCGAAAGCCUGAUCCAGCCAUGCCGCGUGUGUGAAGAAGGUCUUCGGAUUGUAAAGCACUUUAAGUUGGGAGGAAGGGCAGUAAGCUAAUACCUUGCUGUUUUGACGUUACCGACAGAAUAAGCACCGGCUAACUCUGUGCCAGCCGCCGCGGUAA
rnacentral:rRNA from 1 species